rnacentral:ncRNA from 1 species
GAAUUGCAUUUAGAGCGGUCGGAGUCGUAGUGCUCUUGGCCCGGCAACCUGGGUUCGCCCCCAAGGUGCUUGCACACGAUGUGCGAUGCGGUCGGAUACCCGGCAAACCGGCGCCGAUUCG